rnacentral:RNase_P_RNA from 8 species
UCAGGUAAGUGAGACGGCUGCCGACCGAUGUAUAUUGGUUGGAGGAAAGUCCGGACACCCUACCCUUUAAGGAUGAUAAGGACAGUUGCUAACGGCAACCGGGGGUAACCCUAGGGAAAGUGCCACAGAAAACACACGGCCCGCUGCCCGCCGCACAGGUGGGUGAGAGCAAAGUUGAAAACGUGGGGUAAGAGCCCACGCAUGACCUGACCGGUGACGGUCGGUGCGGUAAACCCUGUCCGGUGCAAGAGCAAGUUUGGUAGCUCGCUUGAGCUUGCUGGCGACAGCAAGUCUAGAGAGAUAGCCGUCGUUAGGAUUUCUAUCCUAAAACAGAAUCCGGCUUACGGCUUACCUGGUCCC